AGAGUUUGAUCCUGGCUCAGGAUGAACGCUAGCUACAGGCUUAACACAUGCAAGUCGAGGGGCAUCAUGGAGUUUGCUUGCAAACUCUGACGGCAACCGGCGCACGGGUGAGUAACGCGUAUCCAACCUUCCCUAUAGUAGUGGAUAGCCCGGCGAAAGUCGGAUUAAUACACUAUGUUAUUCAACGAGGACAUCUGAAAUGAAUCAAAGGCUUGCCGCUAUAGGAUGGGGAUGCGUCUGAUUAGAUAGUAGGCGGGGUAACGGCCCACCUAGUCUACGAUCAGUAGGGGUUCUGAGAGGAAGGUCCCCCACAUUGGAACUGAGACACGGUCCAAACUCCUACGGGAGGCAGCAGUGAGGAAUAUUGGUCAAUGGGCGAGAGCCUGAACCAGCCAAGUAGCGUGCAGGAUGACGGCCCUAUGGGUUGUAAACUGCUUUUAUGCGGGGAUAAAGUUCACUACGUGUAGUGUUUUGUAGGUACCGCAUGAAUAAGGACCGGCUAAUUCCGUGCCAGCAGCCGCGGUAAUACGGAAGGUCCGGGCGUUAUCCGGAUUUAUUGGGUUUAAAGGGAGCGCAGGCCGGAGGUCAAGCGUGACGUGAAAUGUAGCCGCUCAACGGCUGAACUGCGUCGCGAACUGGCUUUCUUGAGUGAGUUCGAUGUGGGCGGAAUUCGUGGUGUAGCGGUGAAAUGCUUAGAUAUCACGAAGAACUCCGAUUGCGAAGGCAGCCCACAAGGCCUUUACUGACGCUAAAGCUCGAAGGUGCGGGUAUCGAACAGGAUUAGAUACCCUGGUAGUCCGCACGGUAAACGAUAAAGGCCGCUGUUUGCGAUAUACUGUGAGC
rnacentral:rRNA from 1 species